rnacentral:rRNA from 1 species
AGGAAUAUUGGUCAAUGGGCGCAGGCCUGAACCAGCCAAGUCGCGUGAGGGAAGACUGCCCUAUGGGUUGUAAACCUCUUUUAUAAGGGAAGAAUAAUGACUACGUGUAGUCAGAUGCCCGUACCUUAUGAAUAAGCAUCGGCUAACUCCGUGCCAGCAGCCGCGGUAAUACGGAGGAUGCGAGCGUUAUCCGGAUUUAUUGGGUUUAAAGGGUGCGUAGGCGGUAUUUUAAGUUAGUGGUAAAACGUCGGGGCUUCACCUUGAUUGGCCAUUAAAACUGGAGUACUAGAGUACAGACGAGGUAGGCGGAAUAAGUUAAGUAGCGGUGAAAUGCUUAGAUAUAACUUAGAACCCCGAUAGCGAAGGCAGCUUACCAGACUGUUACUGACGCUGAAGCACGAGAGCGUGGGUAGCGAACA